UUGAGCAUUUGCCCAAGAAUAUACUGAUUGAACCAGCGUUAAAACUGUUUAAAAUAAAAAUUAUUGAAGUGAGUUAAAAAAGUAAAUUAAAUUAAGUAAAUUAAAGGACUACAUAAUCAAGGUCAAUUAUUAUAGGAUGAAAAUACGGAAUUCUUUGUUAUUUGCUUAUAUUAUGUAUUUGGUUAUGCCAUCCUAAAAAUUGAAGAAAAUCUUGGAAUUUUUUCAGAGGGAUUUAUGAAUAUAAAUUCAGCAACAAGGAACAAAAGGAAGGAUUGAGUAAAAAUACCUAACUUUGAUUAUAAAUUAAGCGUCGUAUAUAAUUUAUAAAAAUUGAAAAUUUU